GUGGGAUGUAGCUCAGUAGGAGAGCCCAUGUUUAGCAUUCUUGAGGCCCUGGGUUCGAUCCCCAGAACCCACA
rnacentral:tRNA from 1 species